CUUUAUGACCAUACCACCCUGAAUGCUCCUGAUCUCAUCUGAUCUCCGAAGCUAAGCAGGGUCGGGCCUGGUUAGUACUUGGAUGGAUAUGAGCCCUUUGCCAGUUAUGCUUGUUGCAUAUA
ensembl:rRNA 5S_rRNA 5S ribosomal RNA